rnacentral:lncRNA from 1 species
GGAAUGUGGAAAUCUCUAUACUCCCCACUUAAUGCUUGGUCAAGAUGACAAGCAAUGUUUGGUUGUGGGUGCUAAUAAAGGAAGACAAUGUUCUUCCUUAUCUCUUUUUAUGGAUGAUGACCGCUUCCUUUGUGUCUUUUGUACUAAGCUUUGUAUGUUCAACACAAAGGACCCGUGGAUAUACUCCAAGUUUGUCCCC